rnacentral:rRNA from 1 species
UGCGGAGGGUGCAAACGUUGCUCGGAAUCAUUGGGCGUAAAGCGCACGUAGGUGGCCUGUUAAGUCGGGUGUGAAAUCCCUGGGCUCAACCCAGGAAGUGCACUCGAAACUGGCAGGCUUGAGUACUGAAGAGGGUCGCGGAAUUCCCGGUGUAGAGGUGAAAUUCGUAGAUAUCGGGAGGAACACCAGUGGCGAAGGCGGCGACCUGGGCAGAUACUGACACUGAGGUGCGAAAGCGUGGGGAGCAAACAGG